AACGCACAUUGCGCCCUCUGGUAUUCCGGGGGGCAUGCCUGUUCGAGCGUCAUUUACACCCCUCAAGCCUAGCUUGGUAUUGGGAGCCUGCCCCCCCGGGGGCAAUCCCGAAAUGCAGCGGCGGUGCGGCCGGAUUUCCUAGCGCAGUGACUCAUAUCAUCGCUACAAGGAAUCCGCGUCGUCCCGGCCGGACAACAACCAAAUUUUACCACGAUUGACCUCGGAUCAGGUAGGGAUACCCGCUGAACUUAA
rnacentral:misc_RNA from 1 species